rnacentral:rRNA from 1 species
UACGUAGGGUGCAAGCGUUGUCCGGAAUUAUUGGGCGUAAAGAGCUCGUAGGCGGUUUGUCGCGUCUGCUGUGAAAACUCGGGGCUCAACUCCGAGCGUGCAGUGGGUACGGGCAGACUAGAGUGCGGUAGGGGAGACUGGAAUUCCUGGUGUAGCGGUGGAAUGCGCAGAUAUCAGGAGGAACACCGGUGGCGAAGGCGGCGAUCUGGACGAUGACUGACGCUGAGACGCGAAAGCGUGGGGAGCAAACAGG